CCUCAAAGGAAAUGUUGUGCUGAUACAUAUUAAGAAAAAUUGUUUGCCAUAAUAUAAAAGAUAUAUGUAUAGAAACUUCUUUAAAUAGGAAAAAAUGGCAAGAGCAGAGGAGGUAUUGAAUAACAGGAUCUAGAUGCUAUGGACUUUAUACUUAUAAAAAGGGAGACUGGGAAAUAAAAAGCGCAAAAUAUUUCUGGCCUAAAACAUUUUCAAAUAAGUACACAAAAUAUGGAAAUGCUGCUGAAAAGGAAGCUAGGGAUACAUAUUGCAGGAACUUGGGCAGAAAGGUUUUAACAUGUGGAUUGAUUAUUUCAAAAUCAAAUCCGUACCUAGCAUAUUCACCAGAUGGUAUUGUGAUGGACAAAAAUGUUCCUAUUAAAUUGCUUGAAAUUAAAUGUCCAUUUAAAGUUAUUGGAGCAGAUACAUAACAGAAUAAAUAUUUCCCCAAAAUGCUUCUCUCAAACACAGGAUGUUACAGUUGCAUGCAUGAGCACCGGCAGAAAAAUUUCAGGGUGGCAAGAAAAAUAACGUGUAGGUAGUUUUUUCUAAAUUUUAAUGAAACAUUUAAAAUUCUUACCCAAGAGAAAACAAAUUUUAACCUUCUUCGGUCUUAGCCAAAUGUAUCCAGUAGUGCCUCGAUAAAUUGAGUUUUAUCGCUUUCAAUUUUUUUCCUAUAUACACUAAGUAAGCAUAUGCUAGCUAAGCAAUUUUUGGCCAUCGUUGACCUUAACCAAGUGUUGAUCCUUCUUAGUGUACUAAAGGAGUGUUCAAUUGAACAUGUCAUAGGUGAUAAGGAAGGAAACUUCAGCAUUGCCAUUGUUGAGAAUAUUUAAUUUUACUCAUUUUAUAAUUUUCAGGUAUAGUUUAUCUCAUGGGUAUAAGGGAAUAUAGAAAAUUUCAAAGGAUGCCAACAAGUCGUGGAAUAGAGUGGUGCAAUAUCAUUUCAAGCAAGUGACAUAAAAAUCAUUAGAAUAUAUGAAUAUGUGCAUAGUACGUUAUCAUAAUUCUGUAAAUAUUGCCUAUUUAAGUCAUCUGACUCGAUAUUAUUAAAAGCGGGAUGGUUAUUAAGGGAAUCUUUUAUGUCUCUUCAUCAAUCAGUAUUAUUGGUUACAUGUUAUGUUGAUUUUUUACUUCUCUAUCUAUGAAUAACAAAAAUAACAAUUUAACACUUAUAAUGUCCUUAAAACCGUUUUUCAUUGAGAAUUGGUCUGGAUAAAUUGCAGAUUGCACAUGCAAUAAGAAAAAUGUGAUCGAUUACUUCGAUUAAUGACCAAUCCAAUGUAUGAUUUAAAAUUUUAAAAAUUUUUAUUUGCUGGUUCACUCUUUCAAUGUGGACUCUGGCUUUUGCUAUGCAAGCAUUACUUUUAGCUUCUUCAUAACUGUCUUUUUUUUAGAAAUGGUGGACGAAUUAUUUUUAUUCCAUAAUUAUUGCAAAUAUCAUCUACCAGAAACCCUUUAUCCACCAUUAUAGCAUCUUUAUAAGGAAUUCAUUUUUCUAUUAUGCCACUCUGCUCAAAUAUUGCUUUGUCUGAAGCUCUGCCACCAUAAGCUUUGCUUAUAAACAUAAUUAACCCUGCUGGACUAACUCCUACCAUGUACUUAAUAAUAUUUCUCGAUUUAUAAUGAGAAUAACACUUUAUUCUACAGCACAGACACUUUGGCUUUUGAACAUAAAUUUCUGUGCAGUCUAAAACAACUCUUAUAUUUUUAAAGUUUUCAAAACACUUGGGAAGAUUUGACAACACUUCUUCUUUACUUACAAAACUAAUGGUGGCACCAAG